rnacentral:lncRNA from 13 species
UAAAUUUCCUUAUUUUAUAUGUAAAAAUAAAUUUUAUUUAUUUAUUUAUUUAUUUGAGACCGAGUUUCACUCUUGUUACCCAGGCUGGAGUGCAAUGGCAUGAUCUUAGCUCACCGCAACCUCCGCCUCCUGGGUUCAAGCAAUUCUCCUGCCUCAGCCUCCUGAGUAGCUGGGAUUACAGGCACGCGCCACCAUGCCCAGCUAAUUUUUUGUGCUUUUAGUAGAGACGGAGUUUCACCAUGUUGAGCAGGAUGGUCUCGAUCUCUUGACCUUGUGAUCCACCUGCCUUGGCCUCCCAAAGUGCUGGGAUUACAGGCGUGAGCCACCGCGCCCAGCCCAAAAAUAAAUUUUUAAUCUAUAUAUUACUCUGCCUCUAUGGAUCUGCCUGGCACAGCCCACUCAGCUGCUUUCACAGGCUGACAUUGAGUGUCUACGGCUUUUCCAAGUCUGUUCCAGACUCAGAACAGAGCGACUCAGACUUGGAACACAGCGACUCAGAAUCAGGACACAGUGACUCAGACUCGGGACACAGCGACUCAGACUCGGAAGGGCCCUCUACAAAUCCAUUUUAAGCUUCUAUUAAAGACUACACAGGAAAAAGAUUUACUAUUUAUGGAGCAACCUUGAACAUAGUUUCUGGCAGGCAUCUUCAGAGAUAGAGUCUAACUCU